GGCUCCAUGGCUUAGUUGGUUAAAGCGCCUGUCUUGUAAACAGGAGAUCCUGGGUUCGAAUCCCAGUGGGGCCU
rfam:Mus musculus chromosome 13, GRC primary reference assembly.